AAUGCCAGCAUUUCAUAUGGUCUUUGAUUGUAGAUACUCCCUAUAUCCCGUAUGUGCGAUACUUUGAUAAAAUACAAGAUGUAUGGGGUGUCUGCAAUCACAAACCACAUAGCCGCAAUCAAACA
rnacentral:precursor_RNA from 15 species